rnacentral:lncRNA from 1 species
CUUCCCAGCACCCGGCCCAGGGCUGGAGCUGGCUGCAGGGCUGGCCCGCGGCGACCUGGGCAGGGUGGCGGCUGCUCCCUCUCCUCCCACCCCGCCCCGAGGCGCAGCGCGCGGCAGAGCGGCUCGGUGCCCGGCGGGCGGGCGGCCCGGGCGGGCCUGCGGUCGGGAUGAGGACGGCGCCUCCGCUGCAGAGCGCUGGGGCGGCGCGGGCCGGGAGCUCGUUGGCGGCGGCCGGCGUGGCGGGCGGAGCGGGCCUCGGAGCGGAGGGCCAGCAUCCCAGCCAGCGGCCAAACAGAGUCCACAUUCAUGAGCAGCCAUUGAGGCUUUCCUACCGGCCGGGCACGGCAGCCGCCUGCAGAAUGUGACCGUUGGGAGCGUCCCUGAGCGGGGUUUUCCGCAUUCCUCCGGGGCUGCUGGGCCAAGGUGGCUGUGUGUAAACAGAGCCUGCGUCUCCAGGCCUGGAUGUGGCCAGCCGGGCACUGCCCACUGGGAGGCUACAGAAUGGAGCUUCUCUGCAUUCCGGGCAGGGGCAGGAAUGUGACUUGCUAAGAUCCCAGCCAGAGGGGGCGUGGGAGCCAGGAUACCCGGGUCUCCAUACUGGAGGAGGCUGCCCCAUCUGUAGAAGCCGGAGAGCCUGAUGCCAGGGCCAGUCUCCAUACUGGAGGAAGCUGCCCCAUCUGUAGAAGCCGGAGAGCCUGGUGCCAGGGCCAAUCUCCAUACUGGAGGAAGCUGCCCCAUCUGUAGAAGCCGGAGAGCCUGGUGCCAGGGCCAGUCUCCAUACUGGAGGAAGCUGCCCCAUCUGUAGAAGCUGGGGAGCUGGGUGCCAGGGCCAGUCUCCAUACUGGAGGAAGCUGCCCCAUCUGUAGAAGCCGGGGAGCCAGGUGCCAGGGCCAUCCUCUGUGCCUUACACCAGCCCUUCGCUGUAGGAACCUUUUCUACAGAGACAGCGAUAAAGCUCUCGAGUCACAUAACCGCUCUCCUACAGUGUGCGCUUCAGUGGCUUUCAGGAUAUUCACAAGGUUGUACAAACAUCACCACCAUCUAGUUCUAGAACGUUUUUAUCACCCCAAAAAAAACCCUGUGCCCAUGAAGAAGUCACUCCCUAUUCCCCUCUCCCAGCCCUCGGCAGCCGCUCCUUCCUGCCUGUGGAUUUGUGCAUUCUGGACACUUCGAGUACGUGGUUCCUACAUCCCGCUCGUUUGUGACUGGCUCUGUCACUCAGCGUCACAUCUUUAGGGUCCAUCUGUGCCGUGGCGGGAGUCGGCGCUUCCUUCGUCUUUGCGGCUGAGCGCUGUUCUGCCCCGUGGACGGAGCACAUUUUGUGCACGCACCCCUCCUCCGUUGGACGCCUGGCUUGCCUCCCCUGUCUGGCUGUUGUGAGUCCAGCUGCCGUGAGCUUUUGUGUACCGCUUCUGUGUGGGCACCCACUGUCAUCUCUCCUGGGCAGCUUCCUGGGGAUGGAAGUGCUUCGUCCCGUGGCCACCCUGGCCUUCAAGGAGCUGCCCCACUCUUUCCCACCGUUCCGCUCCCACCAGUGUGUCAGUGGUGGGAACCUCUUACCCCGACUCUGUGGAUGAGGCAACCAGGCCAGGGGAGGGUGAGGCGUUGGCUCAGGACCACACGACUGGGAAUGGGGCCAGGAUUCAAACUGGGAAUGGGGCUCAGGAUUCCCUGAGUAGGGAAGUCAAGGCAAGGGAGUGAGUGGCCAUGGGGACCUCAAGGCUGUGUCUUUGAACGACAGCGCAGUCCCCCAGGAGGCUCCCCCGCUGUGCCUCCCUGGCCCCCUGAGGACAGCACAGCCCUCGCCUCCUGAACACUUACCUGUCCACUCUCCACUCUCCACAUGCAGGGCCAGGUGCUUCCUCAAGGGAGCCUGGUGAAGCCGCGAGUGAGGUGGGGUCGGCCUGCGGAGGGCCCCGCUACGCUGCCAGAGAUGACGCUGUUCGUCCUUGCACAGCCUCCUCCCAAGGGACCCACAGCUUUUUUCCGGGGUGGCUGUGUGUCGAGGAGAAAGAAAUAAUCAGACUUUCGGGGGCCACUAGACACUGGCUCCGAACUGACACUGACUCCGGGAAACCCAGGACAUCCCUGUGCUCUCCAGGCAGAGGGGCUCACGGAGGUCAGGUGGUCACGGGGUUCAGCUCAGGCCUGUCUCACAGUGGGCCCAGCGGGUCCUGGGAUCUGUCCUGUGGCACCUUCCCCAGUUCUGGAUACACAUGGGAGUAGGGGCACCCACCAACUGGCAGGGGCCCCAUGGCUCCAACCCCACCGAGGUCAGGGCACCUGUCCAGAGCCUACCCAGUGGGGAGCAGUCAGAGGGGUUGGGGGAGGCAGGCCAGACUGCGUAACCCCACGUGGGGUCCAUGAGCACUGUGUGUCUUCUCCAGCCAAACAGGAGGCGGCCGCUCUGCCUGGGAACCCCCACUGCUCCUCCUGACCCAAGUCUCACUUGGACACAACCUCCAGGGGGCCUCAGUUUCCCCUUCCUAGGCAAGCUGACUUUUCCUGCACUGUCAGCUACUCUCAGCUGGAGAAAACAGGAAGCAGGGACGGCCACAGUGCUAACAUUCGGAUGCCGCCGGGCACUGCCCCAAGCAGCCCCUCCAGAGGGUAGAAGCCAGCAGGUAGACUAGGGAGACAGGCCAGUGUGUGAGGAUCCUAUAGUGGCUCCCUGGGGGAAGGCGUCUCUGAGCUGGGUGGGUUUUGAACGGUGACUGGGAGUUCUCCAAGCAUGCCAGAUGGGAGAGGGAAUCCCCAGGUUCUCCAAGCAUGCCAGAUGGGAGAGGACAUCCCCAGCAAAGGAAGCAGCAUAGGCAAAGGCGCAGAGACACAUUCCUCUUGGCAGAACUGAAACCUCUGGCAGCUCAUGGUCAGCAGUUCCGAAAGACCCGACCCAGGCAGCUGCCCACACCACAGGCCCGGGUGAAUGGCCCGCGUCAUUCUCUCCAAAUCAGGCUGCUGUCCUGGCGAUGGGACCAGCUCCGGCUGCCGUCCGCCCAUGUCAUGCAAUUGCAUUUGGGAGGUGUGAUAUAGAAUCCCACUGUGCCAGCUGCUGCCCGGGAGACUGUGGCCAAGUCCCCCGCAGCCUCAGUUUCCCCACCUGUUCAGUGGAGUGAUAAGAUGUGGAGAGCACCUCAAUGGUGCUGAGGCAGCACAGGGCACCAUGUGCAGGGUCUGGGUGCCAGCACCCCGUGGAGAAAGGAAAGAGCCGGGCAGCACACAGGGCUGGGAUUCAAAGCUGCCACCUCUUGCUUGGCAGAAGGGACAGAGCCAGGACAGUUGCUCCAUGUGACUGUGCUUGGCUGGCUGCGUUCCCCAGGUCCCAGCAUCCACAGGCUCAAGUCUGAUCCUGGGCAAAGCCCUGGGGAACAGCGAAUUCAGGGCCAUCGUUUUGGACAGACUGUAAGGGUUGGCUGUCUCUGCCACCCAAGGCAAGGGUGUCCCUCUCUGGCUUUGGUGUCCUCUUCAUCAAGUGGAGGGCUGAGUGGUCCCCACAGGCACAGGCCCAAUGCCUCGGGAUCGGGAGCCUCUGACCUGUGUAGGUGGGAAGGCUCUUGGGACAGGUGGGGCCGGGGGACAGGAGGCGGCGGGGAGCAGUGCGGUCUGUGGCCCACGGCAAGCACCCGACACAUCUUCAGGAGAUGCGAGGGGACAGGCUUAUGGCGGCCACAUCUCAUCGGCUUUCAAGAGAAGCCUGACUGAACUUUUCUGUAACAUCUCUUGGCUGGAAAUUUUUAUGAGCAUUUUGAACCCUGUGCAGGCAGGCUGGGUUUGCAGUCUGUGGGUCAGAGCUCACCAAUAGAAAUAGCUAGAAAAAUUUAGUAUAAUAUGAUAUACAACAUAAUGUAAUAAAGUAUAAUGUAAUCUAAAGAUAUGAUGUAUGACAACCUGUCAUAUAACACAUAACAUGAUACGGUAUCCUAUUAUGAUGCAGAUACAUUAUAUCACAUAACAUCAUACAAUAUCUUAUGCAGGCUACAAACUCAAGCUACCCAAGUGAUUUUGGAGCCACAUUUAAAAAUAUGUAAAGAAACAGAUGAAGUUAAUUGUAUUGUAUCUGCAAAGUAUUCUCAUUCCACCAUGUGAUUGAUACAAACGUCAGUGAGUUCACAUUCUCCUUGCUGCGCCCUCAGGAAGUCGCGUGCGCUCUGCGCUUGUACCGUGUCUUGAUUCUGGCCAGCGAUGUGCAAACGCUCCGUGGCCACGUAUGCCCGCAGCUGCUGCACGAGCAGCUCAGCCCUGCACCCAGGGUCUCUGAGUGCCCUUGUGCCUUGCAAUCCUGAUGCCAAACGCCUAGCGUAGGUGCCUCCUCCCCAGCCCAGCCUUCUCACGCCUGACAGCCUUCUCUGUUUUCUCCGGGAAGCCACACCCGACUUUUGUGUCCAUCACGGACCUCUUUCGUCUCUGAGAGUUCGUUCCUUAAAAUAGGGUCGGUGGGCCUGGAUCAGACCCCCUCGGGGGCUGGUUAAGCCACACAUUCCCAGCUGAGUGGAAAUCAGUGGGGCAGGGUCUGGGGUCUGCAUCUGAGGCUGCUCUGGUGAUUUUUAUGUUGAGCUUUCAGACCCUUGUAAAGCCUCAUCUCUUUGUCCCUAGAUGCUAUGUUUCAGGCACCUGGAUGGCAGCUGCUGUCCCCAGACACCCCACUUCCUUGCUCACCACCAGACCAUUUUGCUCUUGCUAUUCAUCUCCACCUGGAAUUCUUGGAAGACUCCUAUUCAUCCUUCAAAACCCACCUCCAACAUCGCCCUGCCUUUCCUCUGAGAAGGUCUCCCUUCCCCGGCAGGUUCCCUCCCCAACCUCCCUUGCUCCUUGUAGAUCUGUGGUUUGCCUGCUGGUCCUGAGUCCCAAGUCCCUGAAGCACUGACACCUGCUGAGGGUCGUGACUGUCACCCAGCUCUUUGAGUCCCGGAGUCCGCCAGGUCCUGGCACAGAGAGGCCUCAGAGCGUGGAUGUGGGAUAAAUCCAGGCGUGUGUGGGUGGGUUGGUCUCUGCAAUCUCAGUAAACAUCUGGCCGCAGGGCCUGGCAGGAAGCUGACCUCGUGGGCACCACGCGGCUGGCAGCUGUGGCCGGUCUAUAAAUACAUUCUAAACGCGGACCAGCCCGUGUGCAUUCCUGCCUCGCCCGCCCUGGAGUGCCCUCCCAGCGGAAGAAAAGCCGCCAGCGGCCCUCCGUGCCCGGCCAAGCGGUCACUCCCGGUGAGUGGGAGCAUGCCCACAGCAGGGUCAGCCCAGGGCCCGCGGCAUCCGAUUGUUAGCUGAGCGCUCAGGGCCUGCCUGGAGCUGGGAGCCGCAUUUAGCUCUGGGAAAGGCUGUCCACACCAGCAGCCUGCUUUGCUUGGAUGUCUGGGCUGUGUUUAUGCCGGACCGGUGCCUGGGGAAUAAUUAGAGUCUCCAGAGGGCACCCAGGGGGGCCUGCCGUAGGCGGGAGGUGCCUGGGACCCAAAGCCCUGCUGUGUCCUGUGGCCCAGGGUGGGCAGAGCCCAGGAGCCCAUCGAGGAAAGAGCGGGAGUGGGUUCGCCCCAGUGCCGAGCUGCCCGGGCAGGAGGAGGGGUUC